CCCUGUAGCCCAGCCAGCCUGGUGCCAUUUGUAAAGUGUGCACAUCCAUCCAGAGGGGCCUCAGGAUGUAGGAGGACUAAGAAGAUCCAAGUGUGGCCCCGAUUCUGCCACUCAGAAAGGCUGGAUGUCAUUCCUUCUGCACCACUCCAUCCUGGCCCUCCCUAUACCGAGACAAGCAAUGUGAAUGCUAAGGGGACAGAGACAAGAAAGAGAAGGACAUUCGCUGAGCAUCAACACCUUACCAAGCACGAGGGAGGACGGAGCCUCCACAAUCUAGAGGGACAGAGGAUAAGGCCGGGAAGAUGGUGAACAGCCGUGUGCCCAGGAGGAGAACUGGAAAUAAAUGGUACCCACACUUGUUCUCUUCAGCCCCUCCACUAGCUGGCUGACUUCUUGAAGGUUCAGCUCCAGCCUCACCUCCUGUGGGAAGCCUUCACCGACAUCCCCAGCCUGCUGUGUGUUCCUGCCUCGCACCCCAUGACA